CAGUAGCCGCGGUAAUACGAAGGGGGCUAGCGUUGCUCGGAAUGACUGGGCGUAAAGGGCGCGUAGGCGGCGGCCAAAGUCAGGCGUGAAAUUCCUGGGCUCAACCUUGGGGCUGCGCUUGAUACUUGGUUGCUUGAGUGGGGAAGAGGGUCGUGGAAUUCCCAGUGUAGAGGUGAAAUGCGUAGAGAUGUGGAGGAACACCAGUGGCGAAGGCGACUCUCUGGUCUGUAACUGACGCUGAGGAGCGAAAGCGUGGGGAGCAAACAGGAUUAGAUACCCCUGUAGUCCCUGUCUCUUAUAC
rnacentral:rRNA from 1 species